rnacentral:rRNA from 1 species
AACUAACGCUAGCGGCGUGCCUAACACAUGCAAGUCGUACGAGAAAGUCGGCUUCGGUCGGCGAGUAAAGUGGCGCACGGGUGAGUAACGCGUGGAUAAUCUACCCUUGAGUUGGGAAUAACGUGCCGAAAGGUGCGCUAAUACCGAAUAAUACUGAGUGACUAAUGUUGCUUAGUCAAAGAAGGCCUCUGCUUGCAAGCUUUCGCUGAAGGAUGAGUCCGCGUACCAUUAGCUAGUUGGUAGGGUAAUGGCCUACCAAGGCAACGAUGGUUAGCUGGUCUGAGAGGAUGAUCAGCCACACUGGAACUGAGACACGGUCCAGACUCCUACGGGAGGCAGCAGUGAGGAAUAUUGCGCAAUGGGGGCAACCCUGACCCAGCAACGCCGCGUGAGGGAAGAAGGCCUUCGGGUUGUAAACCUCUGUCAUUAGGGAAGAAGAAAGUGACGGUACCUAAUGAGGAAGCCCCGGCUAACUACGUG